GGGCCGCUGGUCUAGUGGUAUGAUUCUCGCUUAGGGUUCAAACUCCUGAGCACCUGUUCUGCGAGAGGUCCCGGGUUCAAUCCCCGGGUGGCCCC
rnacentral:tRNA from 1 species